rnacentral:rRNA from 1 species
AUGGGGGCCAGCUCGGAUUCCGGCGCGUCCAGCGGAUCGCUGUGCUCGUCGAUCAUGUCGAGCCUGACAGACGACGACGCAGAGUCCUCCCCGGUGGCGGGUGAUCCUACGCCGUCGCCGCCGUCGGACACGAUGCAGCUGGACGGGGGAGGCGGCGGGCCUCUCUACGAGCUGUCGCCGCUGCUGGCGCACCUUCCCGUCAGGACAGGGCUGUCUAAGUAUUACAAAGGGAAGUCCCAGUCAUUCACUUCUCUUUCCGACGUCAAAUGCUUGCAAGAUCUCGCAAAGAAGACCACCGCCCACACCGGCAGGAAGGCGAGCCGUUCGUCGAUUUCACUUCACGUUCAAGGGCCUCACAGCAAGACGAUAGGGAAGAAGACACCGCCCAGGGGUUCAUCUGGCCGGCUGCCGUCAAGAGCAUGGAGCAGGGGCCUUCCGCACAGAAGCGGUAAACCGCCUGCGUACCAGAGCAAGAAAGAGCUGUGCAGCAGAGAUUUCUGCUAG